GUCCACGCCGUAAACGAUGAGUGCUAGGUGCUGUGGGUAUUGACCCCUGCGGUGCCGCAGCUAACGCGUUAAGCACUCCGCCUGGGGAGUACGGCCGCAAGGCUAAAACUCAAAGGAAUUGACGGGGGCCCGCACAAGCGGUGGAGCAUGUGGUUCAAUUCGACGCAACGCGCAGAACCUUACCUGGGUUAAAUACACUCGAACUUAACAGAGAUGUUUUGGUGCCCUUCGGGGAGCGAGUGAGAAGGUGCUGCAUGGCUGUCGU
rnacentral:rRNA from 1 species